rnacentral:rRNA from 1 species
AGUGAACGCUGGCGGUAGGCCUAACACAUGCAAGUCGAACGGCAGCACAGUAAGAGCUUGCUCUUACGGGUGGCGAGUGGCGGACGGGUGAGGAAUACAUCGGAUUCUACUUUUUUGUGGGGGAUAACGUAGGGAAACUUACGCUAAUACCGCAUACGACCUACGGGUGAAAGCAGGGGAUCUUCGGACCUUGCGCGAUUGAAUGAGCCGAUGUCGGAUUAGCUAGUUGGCGGGGUAAAGGCCCACCAAGGCGACGAUCCGUAGCUGGUCUGAGAGGAUGAUCAGCCACACUGGAACUGAGACACGGUCCAGACUCCUACGGGAGUCAGCAGUGGGGAAUAUUGGACAAAGGGCGCAAGCCUGAUCCAGCCAUACCGCGUGAGUGAAGAAGGCCUUCGGGUUGUAAAGCCCUUUUGUUGGGAAAGAAAAGCAGCAGGUUAAUACCCCGCUGUUCUGACGGUACCCAAAGAAUAAGCACCGGCUAACUUCGUG